GUGAGGAAUAUUGGUCAAUGGGCGGGAGCCUGAACCAGCCAAGUCGCGUGAAGGAAGAAGGAUCUAUGGUUCGUAAACUUCUUUUGCAGGGGAAUAAAGUGCAGGACGUGUCCUGUUUUGUAUGUACCCUGAGAAUAAGGAUCGGCUAACUCCGUGCCAGCAGCCGCGGUAAUACGGAGGAUCCGAGCGUUAUCCGGAUUUAUUGGGUUUAAAGGGUGCGUAGGUGGUUUGAUAAGUCAGCGGUGAAAGUUUGCAGCUUAACUGUAAAAAUGCCGUUGAAACUGUCGGACUUGAGUGUAAAUGAGGUAGGCGGAAUGCGUGGUGUAGCGGUGAAAUGCAUAGAUAUCACGCAGAACUCCGAUUGCGAAGGCAGCUUACUAAGCUACAACUGACACUGAAGCACGAAAGCGUGGGGAUCAAACAGGAUUAGAAACCCGAGUAGUCC
rnacentral:rRNA from 1 species